rnacentral:rRNA from 1 species
AUGCCCUCUUCUCCUUCAAACUCAUCCUCCUCGGAUGCCUCUACAUCAUCAUCACCCUCAUCGUCAUCAUUAUCAUCGCCACCCCUCCAGUGCAGAGGUUGCGGCGGACUUGCCUUUCUCCUCUUCAGGGGAUGCGACAGCUUCGUCUUCCGAGGACCUCCGGUUGCUCCUUCGUGGGGAUCGCGAUGUCCUUCCCCUUCUUGGCGGGAGUCCCGCGGGCCACGUGAGCUUCCUUCGGCAAUGGCUCCAUCAGCUUCGCCAAUGCCGGGUCAAAAGAACUUUGCUAAAGCGUGCGGCACACUUAAGGUAUAG